rnacentral:lncRNA from 1 species
GAAUCAAAGUAGCUCGCGACUGUUGUAUUUUAGUCGGUCGGGUGAAGCGGUAGCUUCGUGCUCCGCUUCUCUCGCGCUUGCUUGCGUGAAGGCUUAGAGCCCUUUUCGCUAGGCCCAAAAGCUUCCCAAAAGAUCUGAUCCAACAGAAAUCCCGCAUUGAGCGUAGCUGAUAUGCGGCUACGGCUAGCCGAUCAUAUCAUUCCAUAAAAAAAAUCUAUAUGUAUAGAGAGAUCCCCUAGAUAUACAGAUAGAAUAGAUGUUCAUGGAUAGACAGACAUUCCAUUGAUUCUUUGUUUUUGGGCUGAAAAAGCUCGUCGAUCCAAAUGAAUCAUUCU